rnacentral:rRNA from 1 species
AUUGAACGCUGGCGGCAGGCCUAACACAUGCAAGUCGAACGAGUGGCGGACGGGUGAGUAAUGUCUGGGAACCUGCCUGAUGGAGGGGGAUAACUACUGGAACCGGUAGCUACUACCGCAUACCAUCAGAUGUGCCCAGAUGGGAUUAGCUAGUUGGUGGGGUAACGGCUAACCAAGGCGACGAUCCCUAGCUGGUCUGAGAGGAUGACCGGCCACACGGGCACUGAGACACGGUCCAGACUCCUACGGGAGGCAGCAGUGGGGAAUAUUGCGCAAUGGGCGAAAGCCUGAUGCAGCAAUGCCGCGUGUAUGAAGAAGGCCUUCGGGUUGUAAAGUACUGUCGGCGGGGAGGCGUUACCCGAAGAAGAAGCACCGGCUAACUACGUGCCAGCAGCCGCGGUAAUAC